UACGAAGGGGACUAGCGUUGUUCGGAAUUACUGGGCGUAAAGCGCGCGUAGGCGGAUCGCUAAGUCAGGGGUGAAAUCCCAGGGCUCAACCCUGGAACUGCCUUUGAUACUGACGAUCUGGAGAUCGGGAGAGGUUGGUGGAAUUCCGAGUGUAGAGGUGAAAUUCGUAGAUAUUCGGAGGAACACCAGAAGCGAAGGCGGCCAACUGGCCCGAUACUGACGCUGAGGCGCGAAAGCGUGGGGAGCAAACAGGG
rnacentral:rRNA from 1 species